rnacentral:rRNA from 1 species
GAUGAACGCUGGCGGCGUGCCUAAUACAUGCAAGUCGAGCGAACAGAUGAGGAGCUUGCUCCUCUGACGUUAGCGGCGGACGGGUGAGUAACACGUGGAUAACCUACCUAUAAGACUGGGAUAACUUCGGGAAACCGGAGCUAAUACCGGAUAAUAUAUUGAACCGCAUGGUUCUAUAGUGAAAGAUGGUUUUGCUGUCACUUAUAGAUGGACCCGCGCCGCAUUAGCUAGUUGGUAAGGUAACGGCUUACCAAGGCAACGAUGCGUAGCCGACCUGAGAGGGUGAUCGGCCACACUGGAACUGAGACACGGUCCAGACUCCUACGGGAGGCAGCAGUAGGGAAUCUUCCGCAAUGGGCGAAAGCCUGACGGAGCAACGCCGCGUGAGUGAUGAAGGGCUUCGGAUCGUAAAACUCUGUUAUUAGGGAAGAACAAAUGUGUAAGUAACUAUGCACGUCUUGACGGUACCUAAUCAGAAAGCCACGGCUAACUACGUG